rnacentral:rRNA from 1 species
UUCGAGGUAGUGACGAGAAAUAACAAUACAGGGCAUUUUAUGCUCUGUAAUUGGAAUGAUGGGAAUGUAAAACCCUUCCAGAGUAACAAUUGGAGGGCAAGUCUGGUGCCAGCAGCCGCGGUAAUUCCAGCUCCAAUAGUGUAUAUUAGAGUUGUUGCAGUUAAAAAGCUCGUAGUUGGAUUUCUGUCGUGGUCAUCCGGCUCCGCCCGUAUGGGUGUGCGCCUGGUUUGCCCUCGGCUUUCUUCCGGUAGCCUUCUGCGCUUCACUGCGUGUGUUGGUGUUCCGGAACUUUUACUUUGAGAAAAAUAGAGUGUUUCAAGCAGGCUUGUCGCCCUGAAUACUUCAGCAUGGAAUAAUAAGAUAGGACC